CUCUUUUGUAGGUAUUACAAAUAUUUUUUCUUUCUUUUACUUAUCUAAAAACAGGGGCAACAUCCAUGGCACCGUGGUGCCAAGACCACCAACGUCGCGAUGCUAAAUAAGUAAAAAAAAAAAAAGUAGCUAUGUUAACCGAGACCCCAGAAAUGUGGCAUUGGGAUGGGAUUCUCUUCCCCUAUUUUAACCUUCUUUCUUUCUCUUUGUCCCCCAUUCAAACCCUAGUCAAAAUUUUCAAGUCUCUCUCUACCAAAACCAAAAAUCUCCUAAACCCACUCAUAAAAACUUCCAAAAACUCAAGUUUCUUCCAUAAAAACAUAAGAUUCAAAAAGUUUUACUAUCUUCCAUCAAUGUGCAGAUUUUUGCUUCAAGUAAGUACUAACUUUUUCAAGAAUUCUUGCUUUUUUUUAGAGAAUUGAUUAUGUUGGAAGAGUUUUGUUGGUAAUUAAUGAUGGGCCUUCAAUAUUUUUGAUAUUGUGUUAAUUGUGCUUGAAGUUUUGGUGAUUUAUGUGGUGGAUUUUGAGAAUUCGAUAGUUGAUAAUAGUGAAUAGUGCUCAAUUGGAGGAUUUUAUUUUGGAUUUUGUUGAUUUGGUGAUUUUUAGUGGUAUUCAAAUUGUUAAAGUAGUUUGUGGAAAGAAUUGAGAUAAUUGUUGAUUUUUUUGGUGAUUUUUGGUGCAAUUGGAAUUUCUGGUUUAAAGUUGAAUUUUGAGUUUAAAUUAUUAUGGCAACCAAAAUAGCUAGAGGUAGUAGCAGCAAUGGGUUCGAUUCGACAAAAUUUGUGUCAACUAAGGCAUUUACGUGCCAUACUCAGUCAUCAAUUCAAAAGUCUCUAGUGCUGGGAAAAGGCAACACUGUGCCCACCGUUCAUUAUAGGCAUAUUUUGAAUAUCGUUGAAAAAAGAAAAUGGGAAAACUUUUGUGCUCAACCUGAGGCGGCAGUUAUACCAUUAGUGCCUGAAUUUUAUGUGAAUGCUUUCAAGCACAACAAUAGUGUUGCUUUUUAUGAAAGAAAAAGAGUGCCUUUUAAUAGCUAGACCAUCAAUUGAUUCUACAACAUGUUGAAAAUUAAGAAUGACGAGUAUGGUCAAUAUUUGGAUGGAAAUGUGGACCUCGAUGAAGUUAUUAAUCUACUUUGCAACUUAGGCAUAGAAUGGAAGAAAUAUAAGGGGGUUUAGGUGUCAUUUACAGCUAAUGUGGUGAAAAAUGAUUACAAGGUUUGGGAUCAUUUCACUAUAGCCAAAAUGCUUCCGGUUAAGCAUGUUAGUGAUGUCACUGAGCAUAGAGCAAUGUUGCUCUAUGCCAUCAUUUCAAGUAAGUCCAUUAAUAUUGGUCAAUUGAUUUUCAAUAAUAUUGUUCACACCGCUUGCUUAGUUAGGGAUGGCCUUUGGCACUCGUCGCUCUUUAUCAUAUUGUGCAAGCAAGUCGGAGUUCAAUGGACUAGAAAUGAAGAACUUUUGCAUCCGAGAGCUCUUUUAGAUGAUGGCAUCAUUCAUCGGUUUCACGCUCACGAGCAAUCUGUAGCUGUUAAGAGUUUAUCUUCAUCUCCACGACCUCCGCCACGUCCACGAAUCUCACCACACUAUAGAGAAUAGAGCAUCUUGAAAGUAGAAUGGCACACCAGGCAGAGUGUGCUAAGGCAAUGGAGCAGAUGUUACAGGCUUGUGCAUUACAUAUGGGGAUGGACAUGGCCAGUUUUCUGUCCUUGCCAAAGGAUCCCAUAACUAAUGAUGAUGAGGAGGAGAAUGAAGACUAGAUCAGGGGAGUAUUCUCUUCCUUACUUUUAGUAACAUUGGGGACAAUGUUAGCUUUAAGUUUAGGAGGGAAAGUUUAUGUUUAAACUUUGCUUUUUAUUUCUUGAGUUUUAAUGUUUUUGAAUGUUGAUGUUUAGUUAGAUUGUUAGUUUUUUAAGUUGUUGCAUCUUUUGUGAAAAAAAAAGUAUUUGUUACAGUUAGUUGCACCAUUUUUUUUAUUCACUUAUCCAAUGAAGAAAAAUAGUUAUCAUGUUAUCUUGUGCUCUUAGUGGUAACUCUAUUAAAUACAGUUAUUUAGCUAUUAUAUAGUCCUUGUGUUUCAAGUUAAUUUUAGAUAGUUUUUAUGUUUUUAGUUAAUUAGUUUAAAGCAUGUGAAGUUAUUUCAAUUCAAGUAAUUCUAGUUCAUUUUCAUGUUUAAAGUCCUAUUUUAAGCCAAUACUGAUUUAGUCCUUGUUUUUGUAGGUUUUCAAAUGCAUAAAGUUAAAUGGUGAUUAACUAUGCAAUGGAGACUAACGCAGAUUACUACUGAAUAUGUUGCGGUAAUUCAAGCAUAACUUGAGUUGCAAAGAUUCAAUGAAUGUGAUUCUUGGACCAUUGAAAUGCUGAUAGGUAGACCUACAACAUUAAUUUACCAUUUCACCCAGAUUGACCUUGAGGUAGGAGAAAAUCACAUUGCAAGAUGUGUUACUGUACUAGUUUUGCACCAAGG
rnacentral:lncRNA from 1 species